CUGCAAGAGAGAAACAGGAGGACAUGGGCUUGUCUUUAAAGCAGGUGUAGACCCAGGUCUGGAAGAGGUCGGGGGCCUGGUUCUACAAAGGGCUCCCCAAGUAUAUCUUGCCCCUGAAGACCCCUGGCCGAGCUGAUGACCCCCACUUCCGACCUUUGCCCACGGAACCAGCAGAGCGAGAGCCCAGAAGCUCCGAGACCAGCCGCAUCUACACGUGGGCCCGAGGAAGAGUGGUUUCCAGCGACAGUGACAGUGACUCGGAUCUUAGCUCCUCCAGCCUAGAGGACGGACUCCCACCCACUGGGGUCAGGGACCGGAAAGGUGACAAACCCUGGAGGGGGUCAGGUGGCAGCGUGGAGGCCCCCAGGAUGGGGUUCACCCACCCGCUGGGCCACCUCUCCGGGAGCCAGAGCAGCCUGGCUGGUGAGACGGGGACGGGCUCCGCCGACCCGCGGUGGGGACCCUGCCCUGUGCUGACCCGAAGGGCCCCGGUAAAAGACACACCUGGACGAGCCCCCGCUGCUGACGCAGCUCCAGCAGGCCCCUCCAGCUGCCUGGGCUGAGGUGUCUGCUGCCUGGAACAGACUUCCC
rnacentral:sRNA from 1 species